AGAAAAUGGUGUCCUGCAGCUACAUUGUAUCAGAAUGGCACAGACUUCUUCAAACAACACUAGAACCUAAGAUUCAAGUGGAGAAAGAGUUUCAAGUUUCCAAAAGGAAAUGAAUUUCAAUCUAGACAUCUACACCCAGGGAGUUUCAUAAGCCAGGUGAAGAGGCAAGUCCAAUGAGAGGUGAAGGGGAGCCCGCGAGGAUGGGAAGGAAGACCCCACGUGACCAUCGUGUUGGGGACCUGCACAUCACGGGGCCUCGCUCAAGAAAACUAAACCACCGAAACAAACCCCAGCUCUCAGUCACUCCAGGGGAAACCAGCGUGCAGGAAAGGAAAGAGAAUCAGUUUGCUACUUGUCUCAGCAAUGAAUGGCAUUUCCAUGAUCACAAUAAGUCUCUUGGUUUCGAGCUCCUUCUUCCCAUCAGCAGACUCUCUCCGCGGUCAAUUACCAAAAAGGGAACCAGGAUCUAACAGCGAAGUGAGAUUCUUCUGGGGAAUCUGGCUCAGUUGCUUAGCAACGCACGGAAUAACUGUAUUAGUUUAGGGGAUUCUGAACAAAAAGGUAAUCAUCUUUUAUUCCCAGAUAGAGUGAAGACGAUGUUAUUUCAAGUAAAGUGGGGAAAAAGUAAAAACCGCGAAAAUGGGGGGAAAACGCAUCUAGUAAAUAAAAGCCUAAUGAUGCCUCCCGCACUCACACCACAGAGUCCCCCUAAAGGUUCUG